rnacentral:lncRNA from 1 species
CUGGUAUACUGACUAACCUGUAGUAACCUGUACUGCUGACAGUCCUGGGUACACAAGCAAUGCAUUAAGGUUAUUAGCAAAGCAAUUUUCUAAAUUACCUGAAUGGAGCUUUCAAGAGAGCUGCAUGGUCAACUCAUGUCACUUCUGUCACCCUGCUGAAUGCCACAUCACACUGCCAAUGCUCAGGAGCACUGACUGCUGGCUUCUGCAAGAAUGGAAGGAAAGGAAGACAUGGACACAUUGGCUACAUCUAAACUACUAAAAAAGUUAGUCAGAGAAUUUUCCUGCAGACCAACUGGCAUGAAAGAACUUGAAUCCACGCAGCUAAACUCUCUUGCCCUCCAAAUCACGGUGGCCACAUCCAAAAUAUCUAUUGGUGAUGGUGCCUGAACUGGGCUUUGUUUGAACCCAAGCUGUGCUUUGGCAUUGUCUGGAAGAGCAUGAACAGGCUUGCACCAAAACCAUGCCAAGGACCAGUUUAGCGUACGGAUGGUUUCGGGACCAUGCCUUGCUGGUCUUGUUUAGUUUUUUUAGUGUCAGAGGGAAACCUCAGUAAUUCUGCCAGGAGUCAACAGGAAACCCUUUCUGGCCUCAGUGACCAGAAGCUGCUGAGAAGUAUAAUCAUUAGACAAGUACUAUGCAUAUGCAUGGCCCAACACUUCUACCUUGCUCCCUAUCACUGCAGGAGGAUUGGGAUAAUUCUUCUGUUUGCACCAGAUCAGAGGCAAACAUGUGAGUGCUUAGAAGAAAAUACUCCUGAACACAAGCCGUUGUUGAAGUUUACCUCUGAUGACAUCUUUGGGAAACACACUGAAACACCCCAUAGGAACAAGGAAUGCAUAAAGCCUGCAAGCUCUUUAACAGGUGGAAAAGUCAUUCUGUGA